rnacentral:rRNA from 1 species
GGAAUCUACCUAUAAGCGGGGGAUAACAUUCGGAAACGGGNGCUAAUACCGCAUAAUAUCUUCUUCCGCAUGGAAGAAGAUUGAAAGACGGCUCUGCUGUCACUUAUAGAUGACCUUGCGGUGCAUUAGUUAGUUGGUGGGGUAACGGCCUACCAAGACGAUGAUGCAUAGCCGACCUGAGAGGGUGAUCGGCCACAUUGGGACUGAGACACGGCCCAAACUCCUACGGGAGGCAGCAGUAGGGAAUCUUCCGCAAUGGGCGAAAGCCUGACGGAGCAAUGCCGCGUGAGUGAAGAAGGCCUUCGGGUCGUAAAACUCUGUUAUAAGAGAAGAACAAAUUGUAGAGUAACUGCUACAGUCUUGACGGUAUCUUAUCAGAAAGCCACGGCUAACUACGUGCCAGCAGCCGCGGUAAUACGUAGGUGGCAAGCGUUGUCCGGAUUUAUUGGGCGUAAAGGGAGCGCAGGUGGUUUCUUAAGUCUGAUGUGAAAGCCCACGGCUUAACCGUGGAGGGUCAUUGGAAACUGGGAAACUUGAGUACAGAAGAGGAAUGUGGAACUCCAUGUGUAGCGGUGGAAUGCGUAGAUAUAUGGAAGAACACCAGUGGCGAAGGCGACAUUCUGGUCUGUUACUGACACUGA